rnacentral:tRNA from 1 species
GCUUAGGUAGUUCAAAGGUAGAAUCUCCGAUUGAAACCCGGAAGACACAGGUUCGAUUCCUGUCCUGAGCA